rnacentral:lncRNA from 12 species
AAGUACGCUCUGCAGCGUGGCGUGAUUAGAUAAUUAGUGUUUCCAAAUGACAAAAUUGGGCUCUUGAUUGCAGAUUCCAGAUGCGGGGGAGGGAGCGGGCGGCUCCCUGCGCGGGCAAAGCGAGCGGAGCCGAGAGAGGCGAGCGGGCCGGGUGAGGGUGCCAGAGAUGUACGGGAGCAGAAGCCAGAAGGUGCAUCUUCCAACCCACCCCAGCCUGGAGAAGCUGUGGCAAAGCCAUCCUGUACCCCGAUACCAAACCCACAGGACCCAGCCCUCACUGCAGCCUUGCUGGGAGCGGUAAGCACCCUGCCCUGCCCAUGGUGAAAAACACCUCCUGCCAGCCAAACUGAUGCCUGCUCAUUUUAAAAUAUCAUUCCUGACUUUGACGGGCUCUUGACCAGCAGGUGACACAUCCUCGGGCCUAUGAGCCUCCGAGGGUGUCGCUUUCCUAUAAGCAGUUGCUCUCUGAGAAGCUUCAGUAGCCUCUGUGCCCAAGGGGCUCUGGAGGCCUGGGGGUGUGUGUGCUCCUGCAGGCUCCGUUUGUAAA